CCUAUCAUUAUUGUUUAAAUAAAUAAAAUGUUGAUUACAAAGUUAUGUGUUUAAAAAAUAAACUUACCUAUCAUUUUCGACAUUUCCAUUUCUCCACCAUAUUCUUUAGGCAAUAAUGACUUAUCAACAUAUGUGUGGCUGUCCUCUAUUGAACUAAAUAUCUGGAGAAUGAUUUGCAAGAGUUAUACAUAAUAACAAGGUGAUUCCGAAAUCCAACGCGAAUUUUAAACUCGAUGGUAUAUUUACUCCAUAUAUUUCUUUGUGUCGCAUUGGAAUUGUUCGCUAGAAAAUAUUAAUAAAAGAAAUUUAUUUUUAUAAAAUAACAAUUUUUAUUAUUAUUAUUUUAGGUGUAGCUUUUAUUUUACAAUAUUAUAGUUAAACAAAAAUUUGUAUAUUAAGUAUUUACAAGACGAUGAUUAUUAAACCAAUAAGGAGAAGAUAAAGAGUACAGACUGACAGUUUAAGAUGAAUUAUAUUGGAUCUUGUAUCAGUAUUGGAAUCUAGCCAAAAAUGUGACGUUAUCAAUCUAAAAGUUUAUACCUUAUUUAUAUAAUUAUAUUAUGUAAUUUAAGUAUAUAAAUAAAUUAUAUAAUUUUAAUUUUAAAA